AUUGAACGCUGGCGGCAGGCCUAACACAUGCAAGUCGAGCGGAUGAAGGGAGCUUGCUCCUGGAUUCAGCGGCGGACGGGUGAGUAAUGCCUAGGAAUCUGCCUGGUAGUGGGGGAUAACGUCCGGAAACGGGCGCUAAUACCGCAUACGUCCUGAGGGAGAAAGUGGGGGAUCUUCGGACCUCACGCUAUCAGAUGAGCCUAGGUCGGAUUAGCUAGUUGGUGGGGUAAAGGCCUACCAAGGCGACGAUCCGUAACUGGUCUGAGAGGAUGAUCAGUCACACUGGAACUGAGACACGGUCCAGACUCCUACGGGAGGCAGCAGUGGGGAAUAUUGGACAAAGGGCGAAAGCCUGAUCCAGCCAUGCCGCGUGUGUGAAGAAGGUCUUCGGAUUGUAAAGCACUUUAAGUUGGGAGGAAGGGCAGUAAGUUAAUACCUUGCUGUUUUGACGUUACCAACAGAAUACGCACCGGCUAACUUCGUG
rnacentral:rRNA from 1 species